rnacentral:misc_RNA from 1 species
CGAGACCAUUAAUGGAGGAAAGAAUUUCCUUCUGUUUGUUCGUUUACCUUUAAAGAGUUUCUGAUUUACUUCUUUUCAAAAGAGUAAAAGAUAAAACUUUAAGGAAGGGUAAAGCAAAAGGGUCAGGGAUGAGAGGAGAGGCGAGAAGAGAGGAAACAAAAUAACUACGAAGAAGAAGAAGCCAAAGGAAGAUGAUUAAAAGACAGCACACUUAAAAGAUGAAUUUAAAAUUCCCAUAUGCCUAUCAAAAGAACAGUAGAUUCCUCGGUUGCAAUGAGAACAGAAAUUCUAUAAAGAAACAAACAAAGGGAAAGUAAGCG